AUUUAUUUGACAGAGAGAGAGACACAGCGAGAGAGGAAACACAAGCAGGGGGAGUGGGAGAGGGAGAAGCAGGCUUCCCGCAGAGCAGGGAGCCCGAUGCGGGGCUCGAUCCCAGGACCCUGAGACCAUGACCUGAGCCGAAGGCAGACGCUUAACGACUGAGUCACCAGUAGGCUCCAUGCCCAGUGUGGAGCCCAACACGAGGCCUGCUCAAGACCCCAAGAUCAAGACCUGGGCUGAGAUCAAGAGUUGGACGCUUAACUGACUGACCCACCCUGGCACGCCUCCUUACUCUCAUUUUGAUAUGGUUUCUGGAGGGAACAGAGAUAAAUGUGUAUGCUCAAUUCACCAUAUUUAACCAGAAGCUUCUUCCUCAAGUCUCAGUUAUGUCAUUUCUCUAACUCCUAAAGUGGUUGUGAAAAUUAAAGAUAGUAGUGCAUAUGUAACAGGAUGUUGAAAGAGAUUUUUCCUGUUGCCUUGGAAUUUGAACUGAGUCCUCAAGGAGAGAAGAAGAGCAUGUAGGUACUCCACAUAGUAAGGAAAGACUACUGGACAGACUAAAGAGAACAACUCUUCCAAGAUUGAUGGUCCUUAUCCUCAUCUUCAUCCUAUAGAGGAUGAGAAAUUUGACGAGGGAAUGAAGACUGGUUCAAGCGUAACUUCAUGUCUCAUGCAGAAUUUUGCUAAAAGCAGCACCAACAAACAAGAACAUGAAACCCGUUCUCAGUGGCUUUCUAAGCUACAACAAUAAGUGCUUUGCAAGUACUAGGGGCUGCUAGCUUUCCAGCCUGCAGUGGAGUGGAUCCUCCCUAAACGACUGGCCAACAUGCUUCCCCUAAGCAAAUGCCACAUUUUAGAUACUCCACUUCCAUCAGUUUGGAACUGCAUUUAUGUUUGUAACUGAGACUGGAAAUAGCAGAGACUUAAACAAGCGGAAGUUAAUUUUUCUCUCAAGGUAAUGAGGUCUGGAUAUAGAUAGUCCAGGGCCUACAUGGUUUCGGGGGUUCCUCAACUUCCCUGUUUACCACCUUUUUUUUUUUUUUUUUUAAAGA